rnacentral:rRNA from 1 species
UACGUAGGGUGCAAGCGUUGUCCGGAAUUACUGGGCGUAAAGGGCGCGUAGGCGGUUCGUUAAGUCCUGUGUGAAAUCCCCCGGCUCAACUGGGGAACUGCACAGGAAACUAGCGGGCUUGAGUUCGGGAGAGGGAGGCGGAAUUCCGGGUGUAGCGGUGAAAUGCGUAGAUAUCGUCAGGAAUGCCGGUGGUGAAGACGGGUGACUGGGCUGGUUCUGACACUGAGGCACGAAAGCGUGGGGAGCGAACGGG